rnacentral:rRNA from 1 species
AGAGGUCGAUUCUGGCUCAGAACGAACGCUGGCGGCGUGCCUAACACAUGCAAGUCGUACGAGAAAAUCCGCUUCGGCGGGUGAGUAGAGUGGCGCACGGGUGAGUAACGCGUGGAUAAUCUGCCUUUAAGCUGGGAAUAACUCACCGAAAGGUGGGCUAAUACCCGAUAAUGCUAUGGGACUUCGGUUUUAUAGCCAAAGAGAGCCUCUACAUGUAAGCCUUCACUUAAAGAUGAGUCCGCGUACCAUUAGCUAGUUGGUAGGGUAAUGGCCUACCAAGGCGACGAUGGUUAGCUGGUCUGAGAGGAUGAUCAGCCACACUGGAACUGAGACACGGUCCAGACUCCUACGGGAGGCAGCAGUGAGGAAUAUUGCGCAAUGGGGGCAACCCUGACGCAGCAACGCCGCGUGAGUGAGGAAGGUCUUCGGAUCGUAAAGCUCUGUCGGGUGGGAAGAAGUGUGCAUAGGUUAAUAGCUUGUGCACUUGACGGUACCGCCAAAGGAAGCACCGGCUAACUCCGUGCCAGCAGCCGCGGUAAUACGGGGGGUGCGAGCGUUGUUCGGAAUCAUUGGGCGUAAAGAGCGUGUAGGCGGCUAGGCAAGUCAGAUGUGAAAUCCCUGGGCUUAACCCAGGAAGUGCAUUUGAAACCGCUUAGCUUGAGUAAGGAAGAGGGAAGUGGAAUUCCUGGUGUAGAGGUGAAAUUCGUAGAUAUCAGGAGGAACACCGGUGGCGAAGGCGACUUCCUGGUCCUAUACUGACGCUGAGACGCGAGAGCGUGGGGAGCAAACAGGAUUAGAUACCCUGGUAGUCCACGCCGUAAACGAUGU